CUGCACACAGUGUAUAACUAUAAUUUUAAAGUUAUUUUGAACUAAAAGCAUGUCAUGUUAUCACGUAAUAUGGGGUAAUAUGUCAGGAUAUCGUUCCUGCUGUCCUGCACCUCGCUGCUCUGCAUAUCAAUGUUCAAUUUCCCUUUCUUGUCCCCCAGACUCAGUUCACUGUGUUUCUCCUGCAGGAGGUUCUCAGGCAGGGAGAGGCCAGGAUGGGGUUGGAGCUUGCAGACCAGGGAGAGAGUUUCAAGUUCAAGUGCAAGAUUACAUGUUCCUGACCAAAUGGAAGAGCCGAGAAAAAAAAAGUGAGUGCAGGUUUCCCUCCCCCUUCCCUCUUCUCUACACUUAUCCGUAAAGAAAGGAAGGAAGCGGAAGAGAGUGGUGUCUGUGAGGAGGAAUGAUGAAAAGGCAGAGAGAGAGAGAGAGAGAGAGAGAAGAAAGGAGGGGGUAAAAGAAGAGAGCAGGACUGAGGAGAGUGGACUGGCAGAAACGUGAAAUACGAGAGGGAGAAGAGUAAAGUAGGAGAGGAACCCGUAAGAGGAGAAACGAGGGAUGGCUGACCUGGAAGUGGGCAAAAUCGGGGGAAAGGAAGCCACCGUUCUUUUCCAACACUUGCUGCUGUGCUCCGUCUGCCCUCUUAGACAAUGUACAAGGUCACAGCCGGAAGGUCAGAUGUCAAAGCCAGGGAAAUGUGACACGUCCCUUCCCCCCAACUCUUGACCGACGACCUCCUGUGUUGUGUCUGCAGAGGGAUUUGAGAAUAAUUUGACGGACAGCCUGUUCAAAGCCCUCCCUGCCUACCCUAUCAUUCUGGUUGCUGAGAGUCAGGUUGCCAUGACACCAGACUGUUUUGUCUGCCCUUUGACCCCUUUAAGAGGUGCUUUGGUCAAUCAGGCAUUACCCAUGAGGGGCCAACCUAGGGGGGAAAGAUGGAGCGACAUUUCCUCUCUAAAAAUGAGAAGCUGGGAUGCAUCACCUGAGAUCAGCUCUGGUCCUCCUCUGGGACUUCAGGUGUUCACUCCUCAUACGACAUACAACUCAAAGGAGACCAGCUGGUCAGUGAUCAGUCCCACCAACAUGCCUGGCAUACACACUAACCCCUCUGACGUGAUUGACAACUCUGCCCUAGCAACCGCUUGGCACGUUGCCGGGCUGCCCAGGGUUGCCAGGGAAUGUGUUCCCAUGGCAACACGUUUAACCACUUUAUUUGCCACCUUGAAAUGUAGCGAAGGUUUUGCAAAGAGGCAGAAAGGGAUUACUGCUGAAAUUUGCCCAGGAAAAAAAUGUGUGGAAAGGUGAUAUGAUUUUUGAGAAUUGUAUUUAAUUUUAUAUUUAUUCUUAAAGUUUUUGAGGAGCUGUGCUGCUAGUGCCAAAUGCAGGAUUUUUUUUUUGUUGUUUUUGUAAGACUAAGUAGAUUUAACUAAAUCUAAUUUUGCCUUUAUGGUGGAGAAAGAACCCAUAGCUGGCUUACAUUAGUCAAACAGUGCAUGAAGGAGUAUGAAAACAUCGGUUUAAAACAACAGAGAUCGAUAUUAAACUCCCAGCUUUAACAUCCCUGUUCAUAUCAUGGUUUAUCAUUUAGUUGAUCAAGUUCAAGGGUGCACACAUGUGUUCACAUAUAUGCAUAUCAACCCACUCCUUGAGUCACACAGUUAGACUUCAGAGAACACAAAUGUGUUCAGGUUUACUGUAUCCAGUUUUAUAUUGAAAUUGUCCAUAAGGGUUUUGGAAAGGGUGAGUGAGAGUGUAGAGAAGGAAGGAAGAGAAGGAUGGAAAUCAGAAAUCAGAAGAGAUAUGAUUUUUAAAAAUCCAGACUGGAAGAGGGGGUGUUAUUAAAGCAGGAACGUAUCUUGAAAGGAUGACGCUGUGACAUCAGUGCUGUAUUUCUGCAUGAUUUGAUUUUAAAAGAGAACGAGAGUGCAGAGGUCAACAGAGGAAGGGAAAUAAAGUGAUUGGAUAAUUGAAGAAAGGCAGGGUUUUAGAAUAGUAGCGUGACAGAAAGAGGGACAAUGGGCUAGGGACGGAAAUAAGGAGGAAACUUGAUGACAUUCAUGGUGGUGUGAAAGGAAAGUAAAAAGGGCAAAAGUGUGGAGACGAAAAGGACAGAUGACCAAAUAAUCUACCUGGCAACAUGCUAAAGGAGGCCCUAGUAUUGCCAUGGUAACAUGCCACAGGAUUGUCACAGGUUUUUGACGUGUCGCUCAUCUUUUUCCAUUCUGGGCAAAAAGACAGAAUUAUAGAGGUACAUGUAGGGGUUGUCUGACAGGUUGUGCGAGUUUUUGUUUUAGUGGAGCUUGUUUAGUUUGACCUUCUCUCUGUAAAACACACAGAAAAAAAGUUAUUUUGAAGAAUGUUGGUAAUCAAACUGAGUUUUAUUUUGGCUUCCAUUAUGUUUCAUGGAAGAAAGAAAGUCAUAGAGGUUUGGAACGACAUAAGGGUUAUGACAGAAAUUAUGAGAGAAUUUUUAUAUUUGAGUGAAUGUCCUUUCUUUAAAAUACUUCCUCCUACCCCUCCUAAUAUGCAGAGCAACUAGCUUGACAAAGCAAAAUUUGCUCAAACAAUGGUGUGAGUCUGAGGUGGGACUUUCUGUUUAUUGCUAGUAGCACAGAAAUUACGCAUUUCAGCUUUCACAUCAAUAUAUAACACAGAUUAACAGCUGAUUAACAACAUUUUUUUUCCCCCCUGGAUUAACUAUGAACAUGUUCCACUAAUAUUACUCAACCAGAAAAUACAUACAUAUAUGGUGUUUUAUAAUUUGAAACCUAAGAAAAUUCUUUUUGUGAAAUAUUUUGGUUAAAAUGUUUUGCUUUCCUUUAAAACAAUCAUUAAUUACUCACCCUCAUGUCGUUCCAAACCUGUA